rnacentral:lncRNA from 10 species
ACUUUCUGCAGGGCCUGUGCGGAGAUCCACUGUCUUGUGGCUGCCUGAGACAUGGCUUCUAUUUGGAGAGGAUCCAGAUGGGACAGGAUAUGUCCCGGUAAGGGUGCCCCCAGUUGCAUCUCCUGGUUCCAUUAUAAGGUCUAUAAGCAUGAACUUAUUCAAUAACGGAAGUAACAGGUAAAGAAGGAAAAGCACACGUGGCAAGAAGAACCACGUCUCCAGGAAGAGGCAACACUACUGAUUGAAGGACAGUGGGGACAAAGUCCUGCUGACAUGCCUGUAUUUCCAAACAAAGACAAAAAUUAAACAUUUGCUUUUCAACCAACUCUGGGCUUUGUGCCCACUCACUCUUUGUUCCCAUUCCCUCUUUCCCAAGUAUUUCAUGGCAUUCUUCCGGGAAUAACUGUUUACAGAGAAUUACAGAGAAUCUGCUUAAAUACAGAUUCAAUAAAAACUCCUAAAGAAAGGUUUCACUGACCUUCAUUGGUCCACUUUUUUAUCCAGCUACUUUAAUUUGAGUCACAGUGACCAAUGCUUCCAACAAUAACUUGACAAACCUCUUACUCUUGCCUGCUUAUAACCUGAUUAUCUGUUUUCAACAAUAGCUAAAGCCAUUCCUCUUUUCCUGGAAUGAUUUUUUCCAUCCUCUCUGCCAAACGAUAGUUCAUCUCCACAUUACUAGAGUGCCUCAUGUCCUGUUACUAACAUCGUACCACUCCAUGGAGUCAUAGAACAAGAGUGGGAGGGGCCUCUGAGACUCUGUCCACCCCUCAUAUUAAAGAAGAGCCAACUGAGGAACAGAGAAAGAGACAUGUAUUGCCCAAGGAACUCAUUGCAUUCGCCGGCCUGGAAGCUUUCCAAUGCACCACACAAUUUUUUUUUUUUUUUUUUUUAAGACGGAGUCUUGCUCUGUCACCCAGGCUAGAGUGCAGUGACGCAAUCUCUGUUCACUGUAACCUCCGCCUCCCAGGUUCAAGAGAGUCUCCUGUCUCAGCCUCCCGAGUAGCUGGGGUUACAGGUGCUCACCACCGUGCCCGGCUAAUUUUUGUAUUUUUAGUAGAGACGAGGUUUCACCAUCUUGGCCAGGCUGGUCUCGAACUCCUGAUCUUGUGAUGCACCCACCUCGGCCUCCCAAAGUGCUGGGAUUACAGGCAUGAGCCACCGUGCCGGGCCCACACAACUUUUAUAUUCCAUACUAGUACUUUCUAGACAAUCAGAGCUAACUUUAAAGGGGCCACUGAAAGUUGCUGUUCGAAGGAAACCUACAUUGACUAUUACCAUAAAUUCAAAAAUUAUUUUACUCUGCUUGUCAUCAGUAAAAGAAUUGCUUGAAUUGAAGCGUAUGUAAUAAACCUAUCCUCUUGCAAAACUUGUUAGUGGCUCUGUGGUUAAGUAAGUCUUGAAUACCUGAGGCUGCUUCUGGGAAGGUGGUCCUGUGCCACAGAUAAUGAUGUCCCUUGGGUUUCUACUGAUUACAUUAUGACUUGAUUAUAAGAUUUUUACUGUCACGAGGGAGGGUCUUGGCUCAUCUGAGAUUUCCCUAGCCCCCUGAGUGGUGCUGAAAUUGUUUUAAUAAAGAUGUUGCGC